CUUUUAGCUGAAUAUAAAAACACAAAUGAGAUGUUUGCUAUAAAAGCCUUAAAGAAAGGAGAUAUUGUGGCUCGAGAUGAAGUAGACAGCCUGAUGUGUGAAAAAAGAAUUUUUGAAACUGUGAAUAGUGUAAGGCAUCCCUUUUUGGUGAACCUUUUUGCAUGUUUCCAAACCAAAGAGCAUGUUUGCUUUGUAAUGGAAUAUGCUGCCGGUGGGGACCUAAUGAUGCACAUUCAUACUGAUGUCUUUUCUGAACCAAGAGCUGUGUGAGUAUGCUUUAGACAUUUGUCUGAGUUUUUCCAUGACUGAUUUCAUUCUGGGAAGGAAAAGAGAUUCUUUGAAUUUUAGAUUUUUUUUCCUAACAGAAAAUAGAUCUCUGCAAGAAAUACUAGAACUCCUUACUUACUUUUUUGCCAUAUACUUUUUGUAUGUAUUCUGUUGUCUGUGUUGAAAAUGUCAUGGAUUGCCCAAAACCACAAUUGAUACUUUAGAUAAGCAAUUUAGAUUCAUUUUAGUAAAAUUUCUUUUUUUGCUAUUAGAUUUUCUCACUAGAGAAUGCCAUCCAGAAUUACAGCUUUAAAGACAGAUUAUACUCAAAAUGCACUGUUAAGUUUUUGAAAAGAAAGUACAGAAGAGUCUGUAUCAUAUAUUUAUAUAAAAUAUUUGUAUUUGCCUUUCUAAAGCAUAAUUUAAAAGAAUAUCAACUAUUUGCGUCCUUGUGCGUAAAAUAUCUCUGAACAAAUGUAAAAGAAACUGGUAUGUGUGUUGCCUCCAGACAAAGAGAUAAAAAGCAGACUUUUCAUUGUAAACUCUUUUUGUAGUUUUUGAAUUCAAGGUUUGGCUUAUUCAAAUAAAUAAGAAUAAU
rnacentral:lncRNA from 1 species